UAAAAUGGAAAAAGAAAAGUAUUGCUUGC
rnacentral:piRNA from 1 species